UAGGGAAUAUUGCGCAAUGGGCGAAAGCCUCACGCAGCAACACCGCGUGAGCGAUGAAGGCCUUCGGGUCGUAAAGCUCUGUCAGGUGGGAAGAAACCCGGUUGGUAGAUAAUGCCGACCGGCUGACGGUACCACCAGAGGAAGCUCCGGCUAACUCCGUGCCAGCAGCCGCGGUAAUACGGAGGGAGCAAGCGUUGUUCGGAAUUACUGGGCGUAAAGGGCGCGCAGGCGGUUUGGUAAGUCAGAUGUGAAAUUCACCGGCUCAACCGGUCGAACUGCAUCCGAUACUGCCAGACUUGAGAUCAGUAGAGGAGAGUGGAAUUCCCAGUGUAGCGGUGGAAUGCGUAGAUAUUGGGAAGAACACCGGUGGCGAAGGCGGCUCUCUGGACUGAUUCUGACGCUGAGGCGCGAAAGCUAGGGGAGCAAACAGGAUUAGAUACCCUGGUAGUCCUAGCUGUAAACGAUGGGUACUAGGUGUUGGGGGUUUCCAUGCCUCCAGUGCCGAAGCUAACGCAUUAAGUACCCCGCCUGGGGAGUACGGCCGCAAGGUUA
rnacentral:rRNA from 1 species